UACGUAGGGUGCGAGCGUUAAUCGGAAUUACUGGGCGUAAAGCGUGCGCAGGCGGCUUUGCAAGACAGAUGUGAAAUCCCCGGGCUUAACCUGGGAACUGCAUUUGUGACUGCAUGGCUGGAGUGCGGCAGAGGGGGAUGGAAUUCCGCGUGUAGCAGUGAAAUGCGUAGAUAUGCGGAGGAACACCGAUGGCGAAGGCAAUCCCCUGGGCCUGCACUGACGCUGAGGAGCGAAAGCCAGGGGAGCAAACGGG
rnacentral:rRNA from 1 species